rnacentral:snRNA from 1 species
AGCGCUUCUCGGCCUUUUGGCUAAGAUCAAGUGUAGUAUCCAUUUAGGCAAAUAUAAUUCUAACAUUUUAAAUCUAU